CUGUUAAUACAUAUAUUUGUAUUCUUUUGGAAUUGGAAGUAAACUCGUCAGGAUGCCACUAUUUCAGUGCGGUCGAGGAGAACUCCCAACGGGAAUCCCAUCACCUCGCUUGCACCUUCAGUAGAUUUCCCUCAAAAAGCAAACAAACAUCUGGAAAUUGCAUAACAUUUGGAGGCGAUUGCUGAUUAUUCGGUGGAGAGAGGAGAUUGUUCGUGACGUUUAUACGGAAUGGAAUCUGACGAACGGGACACACUUUUCGUUCCCUUCCCUCGUGUUACGAAAGUUUUGAUAAAGGUUUCAUAGGAAUACGCCAGAAGACGUAAUGCGAUUAUUGAGUAAAUAAACCGUUAAUCAAACAAUCAG
rnacentral:sRNA from 1 species